GAUUUUGACAAAGAACAACCUUUUGAAUCAAAGCUCCUGAGUCUUUAUCCUGAUUGGUAUCCCAGAACUAAAUGGAACUCAUCUGGUAUUCCUACUGGUGGGGAGGAAAUUUGUUUGGCUUGUAUUUUAGUGCAAAUAUAAUCCAAAUGUCCCAAAUUAUGACUCAACCUAGGACAUAAUUAUUCUUCUGGUACUUUUGCAAAAGCUGAGAUGAACUUUUUAAAUCAGAAGAAUCCUGUCUCCUGGAAUGUUGCAUCCCGAGAUGCUUCUAUCUCUGUUUUUCAUUCCUCUUUAUUCUUGUGGUUGAGCAAGCCAUGUCCUGCACGAUGUCCCCAGCUGUAUCUACGAAAGUGCUGAACUUCAUACUAAUACAGCAUAUGCUGUUGCAUACUUUGAGUCCAGCUGUCAUGGCCCAGGACUCAGAC